rnacentral:rRNA from 1 species
AUGGUGGGGGCAGAUAGAAGUGAUAGUUUUAUUCAUCUUCUUGAGAGAGUAAUAAAGCGACUAAAGGUAUGGCGGGAAAAGUUUCUUUCGGUGGGUGGCAAAGAAAUUUUAUUGAAGGCUGUUAUUCAGUCUCUACCUGUUUUUGCUAUGGCAGUUUUUAAUAUUCCCAAAAAGAUUUGUAAGCUCAUAAUAGACGAAAUGUCUAGCUUUUGGUGGGGAGGUACUGAAGAACAAAAGAAAAUGCAUUGGUGGGCGUGGUGGAAGAUGUGUGUA